CACGUAGGCGGUCCACUAAGUCAGUUGUGAAAUCCCUCGGCUCAACCGAGGAACUGCAAAUGAUACUGGUGGACUUGAGGAUGGUAGGGGUGAGCGGAACUCCAGGUGGAGCGGUGAAAUGCGUAGAUAUCUGGAGGAACACCGGUGGCGAAAGCGGCUCCCUGGACCAUCACUGACGCUGAGGUGCGAAAGCUAGGGUAGCAAACAGGAUUAGAUACCCUGGUAGUC
rnacentral:rRNA from 1 species